AGAACGAACGCUGGCGGCAUGCCUAAUACAUGCAAGUCGAACGAACACUUCGGUGUUAGUGGCGCACGGGUGCGUAACGCGUGGGAAUCUGCCCUUGGGUUCGGAAUAACAGUUGGAAACGACUGCUAAUACCGGAUGAUAUCGAAAGAUCAAAGAUUUAUCGCCCAGGGAUGAGCCCGCGUAGGAUUAGCUAGUUGGUGAGGUAAAGGCUCACCAAGGCGACGAUCCUUAGCUGGUCUGAGAGGAUGAUCAGCCACACUGGGACCGAGACACGGCCCAGACUCCUACGGGAGCAGCAGUAGGGAAUAUGGACAAUGGGCGCAAGCCUGAUCCAGCAAAUGCCGCGUGAGUGAUGAAGGCCUUAGGGUUGUAAAGCUCUUUACCCGAGAUGAUAAUGACAGUAGUCGGAGAAGUAAGCCCGGCUAACUCCGUGCCAGCAGCCGC
rnacentral:rRNA from 1 species